rnacentral:rRNA from 1 species
CUGCGGAGGAUCAUUAAUGAAUUUCAAGUCGGUCGUCUGUGCUGGUGGCAACACAUGUGCACGUCGGCCGCAAAUCCACACACCUGUGCACUUUUGACUCUGGGAUCCGCUGGUCUUUUGACUUGCAGCAGGUUGGCUCUGUGCUGACCUGGGUCUCAGAGUACUUUUAUAUACUCCUGAAUGUUAUGGARUGUCUCUGUGCUUAACGCGCAUCUAUAUAACUUUCAACAACGGAUCUCUUGGCUCUCGCAUCGAUGAAGAACGCAGCGAAAUGCGAUAAGUAAUGUGAAUUGCAGAAUUCAGUGAAUCAUCGAAUCUUUGAACGCACCUUGCACCCUUUGGUACUCCGAGGGGUACACCCGUUUGAGUGUCAUUGUAAUCUCACUCCGAUGACUAUGUUGUUGUCUGGAGGUGGACUUGGACCCUGCCGUGUCACAAUGGCUGGUCUGAAAUGCAUGAGUGCACCCUGCCAUAGCAGCGUCUUCAGUGUGAUAAGUAUCUUCACUGACCCAAGCUUCCUCUGUGGAACACGCUUGUCUGGUGGGCUCUGGGCUUCCAACCGUCCCCAUGGACAACUCUUGACAAUUUGACCUCAAAUCGGGUGGGAUUACCCGCUGAACUUAAGCAUAUCAAUAAGCGGAGGAAAAGAAACUAACAAGGAUUCCCCUAGUAACGGCGAGUGAAGAGGGAAAAGCUCAAAUUUUGAAUCUGGUACCUUUGGUGCCCGAGUUGUAAUCUAGAGAAGUGUUUUCUGCCUUGGACCACGCAUAAAUUCCCUGGAAUGGGGUGUCAUAGAGGGUGAGAAUCCCGUUUGUGGUGUGGACUACCUUGGCUUUGUGAUACACUCUCAACGAGUCGAGUUGUUUGGGAAUGCAGCUCAAAAUGGGUGGUAAAUUCCAUCUAAAGCUAAAUAUUGGCGAGAGACCGAUAGCGAACAAGUACCGUGAGGGAAAGAUGAAAAGCACUUUGGAAAGAGAGUGAAACAGUACGUGAAAUUGUUGAAAGGGAAGCGCUUGAGGUCAGUCACAUCUGUCAGGACUCAGCCAGGCUUCUGCCUGGUGUACUUCCUGGCCGGUGGGUCAGCGUCAGUUUUGACCGAGGGAAAAAGGCUUGGGGAAUGUGGCUGUCUUCGGGCAGUGUUAUAGCCCCUUGUUGUAUGUCUCGGUUGGGACUGAGGAUCGCAGCACGCCUUAUGGCCGGGGUUCGCGCCCUCGGUACGUGCUU